AAAUGAAUUGACGGGGACCCGCACAAGCGGUGGAGCAUGUGGUUUAAUUCGAAGCAACGCGAAGAACCUUACCAAGGCUUGACAUCUCCUCGAAAGGCGCGGAGACGCGCCCUCCUUUCGGGGCGGGGAAGACAGGUGGUGCAUGGUUGUCGUCAGCUCGUGUCGUGAGAUGUUGGGUUAAGUCCCGCAACGAGCGCAACCCUUACUUUCAGUAGCCAGCAUGUAGAGAUGGGCACUCUGAAGGGACUGCCGCGGAUAACGCGGAGGAAGGCGGGGACGACGUCAAAUCAUCAUGCCCCUUAUGUCUUGGGCAACACACGUGCUACAAUGGCCCGAACAAAGCGAAGCGAAGCCGCGAGGCGGAGCAAAGCGCAAAAACGGGUCUCAGUUCGGAUUGCAGGCUGCAACUCGCCUGCAUGAAGUUGGAAUCGCUAGUAAUCGCAAAUCAGCAUGUUGCGGUGAAUACGUUCCCGGGUCUUGUACACACCGCCCGU
rnacentral:rRNA from 1 species